CCUACGGGCGGCAGCAGUGAGGAAUAUUGGUCAAUGGACGAGAGUCUGAACCAGCCAAGUAGCGUGAAGGAUGACUGCCCUAUGGGUUGUAAACUUCUUUUAUAUGGGAAUAAAAUGUUCCACGUGUGGGAUUUUGUAUGUACCAUAUGAAUAAGGAUCGGCUAACUCCGUGCCAGCAGCCGCGGUAAUACGGGGGAUCCGAGCGUUAUCCGGAUUUAUUGGGUUUAAAGGGAGCGUAGGUGGAUUGUUAAGUCAGUUGUGAAAGUUUGCGGCUCAACCGUAAAAUUGCAGUUGAAACUGGCAGUCUUGAGUACAGUAGAGGUGGGCGGAAUGCGUGGUGUAGCGGUGAAAUGCUUAGAUAUCACGAAGAACUCCGAUUGCGAAGGCAGUUCACUGGACUGCAACUGACACUGAGGCUCGAAAGUGUGGGUAUCAAACAGGAUUAGAUACCCCGGUAGUC
rnacentral:rRNA from 1 species